AUCUAGUAUUCAUGAUUAUUGAGGAACAUAAUGAUAGAGAUCCAUGAGAAGAUAAUGUCAUUGAGGGACAUAAUAGAUCUUUCUCUAUGUAACAGCUCUGCUUCCUUACGUGAGAUUGUAUUGAAAACCUUGGAAGAUCUAUAAAAGAUUUAUCUGGCGAUCAUACCUAAAAAGGAAGUGGCAAAGAUUAAAGACAAGUCUACAGAUCAGGUCUUCUCAAUGCUCGAUACAAGUAGACUGUACCAUGCAGUAGCUACUUGUAAGUUGUUUAGAAACUGGGCUAAAUAUCCUUUCUGCUAUUCACAUAUUGAUUUGAGAACACCUGUUCCAAAGGUGAACGAUGCACUAGUCACCACUAUCAUACACCGAGCUGGAAAGGCACUAAGGUGCCCUUCGGCAUUCUCUACAGGAUAGACUAAGAAAAGGAUAAUCAGGUAGGAGCCGCGAUGAAAUAUAUCUAAAACUUCGAACCAGUACAGCACUGCCACUGAAAUUGAUUGACUUACCUGGAUUGGACUAGCGGAUUAUGGAUCACAAAGCAAUCAGUGGAUAUGUGGAGCACAAUGAUGCUAUAUUGCUGGCU